GGCGCUAUAGCCAAGUGGUUACGGCGACAGAUUCGAAUCUCGUAAAAGCCAAUAAUUGUAAUCUGUUCCUCUUUGAGGGCGCAGGUUCAAAUCCUGCUGGCGUCG
rnacentral:tRNA from 1 species